CUCAGUCCUGUCUGCAAAAAGUAGGCCUGUCAGCCCCAGCCCUGCGGGGUGCAAUAGGCAACUGAGAGCUUCCAACCUCCCAGUCUGCUGCGGGAAGAUCUCUGUCCUUUUACAAAUGAAGAAACUGAGGUCCAGAGAGAUGAAUUAACCUGCCCAAAGCCAAGUCAGCAUUUGAAUCCAGUCUCAACUACUAAACCAAGACUUUUUGCACACUGUUCUAGCGUCCAUUCCCGUAUCUAGUCCUAGCAACUUAGUCUGAACUGGGACCCAUAUAAUCUGCAUGCUUUGAGAAAAAACGAUUCUCAUUAAUGCAGGGGGCAAAGUUUUAUCAUCCUAAAAAAAGUAAACGUUUGACUUGUAUUUUAAAUGCGUAGAAAAUGAAUUUUAUUGUCUCGUGAACAUUUUUUUCUUCCAACUCUGUCUGCCCUCAAGAAAAAGACCUACAUAUAUUCAGAAGGUUUUGAGCUCUUAGACUUUUUCAGUUCUUUGUAGAAAAUUUCUCCAAAAGGGAAUAGUCACCUGGAGUCGUUCUUCCUUUCUCUAAUGCUAACUGUUAUAAUCCAUGUUUAAAUAAAGUUGGGCAUUUUAUUCUA